UACGUAGGGGGCAAGCGUUGUCCGGAAUCAUUGGGCGUAAAGCGCGUGUAGGCGGUUCGGUAAGUCCGCUCUGAAAGCCCGGGGCUCAACCCCGGGAGGCGGGUGGAUACUGUCGGACUAGAGUGCGGAAGAGGCGAGUGGAAUUCCCGGUGUAGCGGUGAAAUGCGCAGAUAAUCGGGAGGAACACCAAUUGCGAAGGCAGCUCGCUGGGACGUUACUGACGCUGAGACGCGAAAGCGUGGGGAGCAAACAGGAUUG
rnacentral:rRNA from 1 species